rnacentral:lncRNA from 1 species
UGAUUACGUGUACUUGGUUUUAGCAUAGUUGCAUGCUUUCUCAAACAUUAUUAAAUUGCUAUAUUUGAUGAGAAGAUAGCAAACUGCUAUUUUUAAAACAUUUGUUGAUUGAACUACAUAUUUGCUUGUAUAAAUGCAAGCCCCUCAUCAUUUUUAUGCUUUCUCUUUUUGUUUAGUAAGGUUUAUUUUGACAACUAAAAGCAAUAAGAGUAAUGCAAGAGGCUACUCAGUGUUUCUAAUGAUAGAAUAGUUCCAGUUUAACUAGUAAAAACCUUUGCAAGAUCAUGGCAUUUAGAUUCAGGGCAUCUGUCUGUUUGAACCAGAUCAUGUGUUAUUUGAAUCUACCAUGGUUAUUUUUAGUGUGUUUCAUAAGACAUAGUGCAGAUCUGCUGUGAUCUUUAAAUGUUAAUGUUCUUUUCUUAUCACUUUACUGUGUAGAUACCCUUCAUGAGACCCAACUCUGCCACAGCUCAUCCUCGGAGGCAAUCCUGGAAACCUCUUUUAUAAGUGUGAUUUUUUAAAUGUGGAUAACCCUCUCAAUAGAGUACAUAAAGUAAAGGAGAACAGCUAUCUUGUCCUUCCCAUAAGCUUACCACUGCAAAAAGUUGCCUUUGCUUGUCAGGUUUGAAUAGAAUGUAAUUGAUUGGUUUGUUACUUGGACUGACAAGGCAGUUAAUUUGCCUCUAUGGAUUUUUUUUUUCUCUUUUUUUUUCCCUUCUUUAACUUUUUUUUUAAUCAGAAACAUUUGAUAUGUACAUUGUUGAAAAAUACUAGAUAAUGUCUUGUCAGAAUUGUCCAUUAAGUAAUGUCUUCCCCUCUUGCUUCUUUGGCAAAUGAUAUAGUGUUUGGACUUACUAAAGAGUUGUGGAAGCCGGACUUACAUGCAAUGUGCUACUCAUUGUUGUUGAACAAAUCAAGUAACAAAUAAGAAAGACAAUGCAUUCCACUAGUCUGCUGUUCUGUUUCAUCCAGCUAAUACACAUAUUCAUAUAUGAAACGCUACAUUGGGAAACAACUGUAGACUAUAUUAAAUGUUACUUUUACUUAUAAUAAUUCAGCAAAAAUGAAAACUUGUGAAAGAAUAUGCCAUUCUAGUUUUGACUCAUUAGUUCUAGUGUGAAAGCACUAGUAUUAUUAGCAUGCAGUUUUUACAACUUCAGAUUUUAAAUAAAUAAGAUAUAUCUGUGUUGAUCUCUAGAUAUUUUUAGUAACCAAACUUACCGAGUCUUCAUUGACUUAAUACAAACUUUCUCUGUUUGGUUUAAUUUUACUUUUCUCAACCAUAAAUAUGAGGUUAC